CUUUAUUGGAGAGUUUGAUCCUGGCUCAGGAUGAACGCUGGCGGCGUGCCUAAUACAUGCAAGUCGAGCGAAUGGAUUGAGAGUUUGCUCUCAAGAAGUUAGCGGCGGACGGGUGAGUAACACGUGGGUAACCUGCCCAUAAGACUGGGAUAACUCCGGGAAACCGGGGCUAA
rnacentral:rRNA from 1 species